rnacentral:rRNA from 1 species
CCUUUGCCGGCGACCGGCGCACGGGUGAGUAACACGUAUGCAACCUGCCCUCUUCAGGGGGACAACCUUCCGAAAGGGAGGCUAAUCCCGCGUAUAUCGGUUUCGGGCAUCCGAGAUCGAGGAAAGAUUCAUCGGAAGAGGAUGGGCAUGCGGCGCAUUAGCUAGACGGCGGGGUAACGGCCCACCGUGGCGACGAUGCGUAGGGGUUCUGAGAGGAAGGUCCCCCACACUGGUACUGAGACACGGACCAGACUCCUACGGGAGGCAGCAG